rnacentral:rRNA from 1 species
AUUGAACGCUGGCGGCAGGCCUAACACAUGCAAGUCGAGCGGAGCGGCGGACGGGUGAGUAAUGCCUAGGAAUCUGCCUGGUAGUGGGGGAUAACGUCCGGAAACGGGCGCUAAUCCCGCAUACUAUCAGAUGAGCCUAGGUCGGACUAGCUAGUUGGUGGGGUAAAGGCCUACCAAGGCGACGGUCCGUAACUGGUCUGAGAGGAUGCCCAGCCACACUGGAAGUGAGAUACGGUCCAGGCUCCUACGGGAGUCAGCAGUGGGGAAUAGUGGGCAAGGGGCGAAGGCCUGAUGCAGCCAUGCCGCGUGUAUGAAGAGGGCCUUAGGGUUGUAAAGUACUUUCAGCGGGGAGGCGUUACCCGCAGAAGAAGCACCGGCUAACGCCGUGCCAGCAGCCGCGGUAAUUC